rnacentral:rRNA from 1 species
CGGGUGAGUAACGCGUGGAUAACCUGCCUCACACUGGGGGAUAACAGUUAGAAAUGACUGCUAAUACCGCAUAAGCGCACAGUACCGCAUGGUACAGUGUGAAAAACUCCGGUGGUGUGAGAUGGAUCCGCGUCUGAUUAGCCAGUUGGCGGGGUAACGCCCACCAAAGCGACGAUCAGUAGCCGACCUGAGAGGGUGACCGGCCACAUUGGGACUGAGACACGGCCCAA